AUUGAACGCUGGCGGCAUGCUUUACACAUGCAAGUCGAACGAACCCUUCGGGGUUAGUGGCGGACGGGUAAGUAACACGUGGGAACGUGCCUUUAGGUUCGGAAUAACUCAGGGAAACUUGUGCUAAUACCGAAUGUGCCCUUCGGGGGAAAGAUUUAUCGCCUUUAGAGCGGCCCGCGUCUGAUUAGCAAGUUGGCGAGGUAAUGGCUCACCAAGGCUACGAUCAGUAGCUGGUCUGAGAGGAUGACCAGCCACAUUGGGACUGAGACACGGCCCAAACUCCUACGGGAGGCAGCAGUGGGGAAUCUUGCGCAAUGGGCGAAAGCCUGACGCAGCCAUGCCGCGUGGAUGAUGAAGGGCUUAGGAUUGUAAAAUCCUUUCACCGGUGAAGAUAAUGACUGUAGCCGGAGAAGAAGCCCCGGCUAACUUCGUGCCAGCAGCCGCAGUAACAC
rnacentral:rRNA from 1 species